GAGAUCCGGUUUCCCUCUUGAUCCCAUCUGGCGGUGGCACGACUUGCGCGCAAGAGUCCGAGAAAGUCGCCAAAGCGCCCCCUCAACCCUAAUCGGCUGCCUCGGAGAACCAGCUGAAUCAUCUGUUGAGACAUGAUGAGGGUUGAUAAUUGCUGUGCUGUGAGAUCCAGGCAUUUGAUGAGAGGAAUACCUUGAAGAUAAGUAGAAAGAUGAAGACUAGAGGCCGAAUUGGUCCUGUGCCCAACUUCGUAGACCUUCAGGGAUCCUCCAGAAGAAGUCCCCAGACCUGUUGUCCUUCCUCCGUGGGUGGUGAUGGAAGUGAUGCAUGCACUUCUUCAUUCAUGUCUCGAACCUUCCUGGUUAAGGCAGAGAUUUCAUGUAGAUUGCCAAGGACAACGAUGCAGCAGUUGCUUCUGACCACUGUGCACAUGCCACCUUCUUGGGUCAUAUCAAGGCUGAUGCAGUUAUGGAGAACAGCGUGCUGGGUUUCUCAUCCUUGGCAAGCCCAGGUAAGAGCAAUUAACUCAGCUAUGUGGGCUGAACUGAUGUUUGGCAAGCCUCGAUAUUCUAGCGGUUUAUGUUGAUCAGUGAUGGCCUGUGCAGCCUGGAAGGCCUCAUCUUCCUUCCAGAGGUAAGAGCCACUGACCUGAAGAGUGAGGUCAACUUGGGGGAGGGGCUUUUCUGAUAAAUCUAGCCUAGGACAGAACAAUGAUCUAGUGUUAAUGACACAAUCCAUCAGUGGAUAAAGGAAGCAAGAGAGCAGGGUUAAGGCUUUGACUUGGAUGUAUACUAACGGGAGAAGAGAGAGUAGUAGGGAGAGAGUAGCUUUCAUGAGAGCUAAGUCAAGAAGAAGAAAAGUACUGUGUAUUUUCAUUAGGGGACAGGGUCUGUGGAGCACAGGGGACAUAUUUAUCAGGCAGAUGACCUAAUACUAAAUCGGGGGUAGCUCAGACAAGUGUGGUGGUUGUAGCCAUGGCUCACAGGCAUGGGGGCUAUGCCGUAGCUGCUGGGUCAAAGGUCAAACUAUAAUAUCCCAGAGGUCUUGGGUGUCCAUUACACUUCUAGGAUAACACUCUGAGGGCAUGACCCUCUCAUUUAUGCACAGACAAGAGGCAGGGAGUCCUUGGAAAGUUCACGGGUGGGAAGUGAAAGCAGAGAGCCCUUAAGGUUCUUGGAAAGCAUCUUUGGAAAGGGGGUUCUGAACUACUGGGACUGGGGGUGCCUCCCAGUCAUGGAAUAGAGGGGUGAGGCAAUCAUAGAGAAAUUACGGGAUUUCCCUGGUAGUCCAGUGGUUAAGAAUCCGCCUGCCAAUGCGGGGGACAGAGGGUCGAUCCCUGGUCCGGAGAGAGGCCACAUGCCUCGGAACAACUAAGUGCGCUGCAACUGCUGAAGCCUGCUUGUCCUGCAGCCUGUGCUCUGCCACAAGA